rnacentral:rRNA from 1 species
CAUGGCUCAGGAUGAACGCUAGCGGCAGGCCUAACACAUGCAAGUCGAGGGAGAAGCCUUCGGGCUAAGACCGGCGCACGGGUGCGUAACGCGUAUACAAUCUGCCUUUUAUCCGGGGGAUAGCCCGAAGAAAUUUGGAUUAAUACCCUAUGGUAUAAGAGCACGGCAUCGUGCACUUAUUAAAGCUACGGCGGUAAAAGAUGAGUAUGCGUUCUAUUAGCUAGUUGGAGAGGUAACGGCUCCCCAAGGCGACGAUAGAUAGGGGUUCUGAGAGGGAUGUCCCCCACACUGGUACUGAGAUACGGACCAGACUCCUACGG